GUGAGGAAUAUUGGGCAAUGCCCGCAAGGGUGACCCAGCAACGCCGCGUGGAGGAUGAAUGUCGUAAGAUUGUAAACUCCUGUUAGAGGGGAAGAAUAGUACCGGUUGGACCGGUAUAUGACUGUACCCUCAGAGAAAGCCCCGGCUAACUACGUGCCAGCAGCCGCGGUAAAACGUAGGAGGCGAGCGUUAUCCGGAUUUACUGGGCGUACAGCGCGUGCAGGCGGAUUGGAGAGUUGGAUGUGAAAGCUCCCGGCUUAACUGGGAGUGGUCGGUCANUACGUCCAGUAUUGAGUGCAGUAGAGGGAAGUGGAAUUCCGGGUGUAGUGGUGAAAUGCGUAGAUAUCCGGAGGAACACCAGUGGCGAAAGCGGCUUCCUGGACUGUAACUGACGCUCAGACGCGA
rnacentral:rRNA from 1 species